rnacentral:rRNA from 1 species
GAUGAACGCUGGCGGCGUGCUUAAUACAUGCAAGUCGAGCGAACAGACGCGGAGCUUGCUCCUCUGACGUUAGCGGCGGACGGGAGAGAAACACGUGGAUCAUGCCCUUAUCAGACUGGGAAAACCUCGGAAAACGGGAUAAUACAGCAGAGAAUAUACUGCACCAUAUUGUUGAAUGGAGAAAGUCGGCUUUGGUGGCUCUUCUAGCUGCUUAUCCGCCGGAUUAGCUGGUUGUGAGGUUAAAGGCUUUUCAAGGCAACGCUGCAUAGGCGACGUGAGAGAGUGAUCGGCCACACUGGAGGUGAGACACGGACCAGACUCCUGCGGGACGCAGCAGUAGGGAAUCGUCCGCAGUGGGCGAAAGCCUGACGGAACAAGGCCGCGUGAGAGAUGAAGGUCUUCGGAUCGUAAAACUCUGUUAUGAGGGAAGAACAAAUGUGUACGGAGCUGUGCACGGCUUGACGGUACCUAGUCAGAAAGCCACGGCUAACUACGUG